rnacentral:lncRNA from 1 species
AGGACACAGAGUAGCUGCAGGUAGUUCUAGCCCACUUUCUUGUUUGUGUUCUUUGUAGCUCCAUCACCAUCUGAAAUUACUUACAUAUUUUCUUUCUUCCCCAACUAGAUUUCCUGGGAGCAAUAUCUGAAUGAUCUAUCUGGAUCACAAGCCCACCUCCUUGGCUAUUGGAAAGUACAAUACCUUGAUUUCCAGUCCUACCAGUAUUUCACUCAAUAAAGAAGUAAAGGAAAUAGACUGUCGUUACUAGAAGGAAGAAGAAUGGGUGCUACGAUCAGAAGACAAUUCAUGUCAGUUACAGAAUGAGAGAGAGAGAAAGAGAGAACAUGCAGAGGCAGAAUGACCACGUUGAGCCAUGACACAGGGAAGCAAUAGUUCAUGGAAAUAGUGGGGAGUGCAUUGGAAUUCCUCUGGCUGUAAAACUGGGAGAAUGAGUUUAGUGAGUUGAGUGCACCUGACAUCUAAGAUACAGAUGAAAAAUACCCUAAAUCGAGAUACAUAUAUUGGUGAAUUUCUCUCCUGGUGCAUCCACUUCUGGGCCCUGUUGCAUCAUUUGUACUCCACUUUGGUGGGUCUUGAGAUGCCCUUGAGAUUUCAGGGUCUUAAAUGGGGGCCUCUCUGCUUCGUUCCAUUACCAGAAUCCACCAAGAUGGGAGCAUGCUCUGGGAACCCACUGUCCCAAAAAGAGAUCUGAGGAGCUGACCUGAUACAGAAUUGCCCUAGGUGACCCACAGCGCCAUGAGUGAGAAAAAUAAGAUGUUUGUUGUUGUAAACUGCUGAGGUUAGGAUAUUACUACAAAGCAAAACCUAACUCAUGCACUACUCUUGGAUUCCCAGGUUGAGACCACCCAAGUAAAGCACCUAGCAAGUGACUGACAUGUAAUGUGUACUUAAUAAUGGUUGCCCUUAGGAUUAUUUGGGGCAUGACAAAUCUGUUGGGGUUCCUAUAAUAGAAGUUAGGCUUAGGCCAAUGCCUUGUGAAAUGCUUUGUGUAUGUGUGUGUGUGUGUGUGUGUGUGUUGAUUUGACCCCUGAGAAACUUGAACACACCCAUCUAUUACCAUCUUAUAUACCUGCAGAGAUAACUGUCACCCUACAUCGUGCCUUAGGAUUACAGACUGUGUGAAACUUAACAGCCAUUAUCCUGUUAAGUUUUGCACAGUGGUUUCAUAAUUUCUUGCUUGGGAGUUCUAACUGUAUCUGUUUCAUUAACAUGUAUGCUAGAACUACAU